rnacentral:lncRNA from 1 species
GAUAACAAAUACAGAAGAACGUUCACUUGAAAACUCAAAACAAGAUGAACCAGAACAAGUUACUUCAGAAUAUGAUUAUCCUUUGGAUAUGCAAGAACCAUCAAUUCAAAACCAGGCUUCUGACUUAAAUAAUAUAAAGGAGGAUUCUGCCUUUGCUAGGGACAGAGAACAGGACAGAAGGAUGCCGGCUGAGCUAGUACCACUAUGGAAAGGCAUCUCCAGGAGAAAUGAUUCCACUCUUCUGAAAAUUUCUGAAACAAAACUACGAGGCAGUUCUGUGCUUUUAACUUCUGGGGCAUCUACACAGAAAAUAGGUA